GACGAACGCUGGCGGCGUGCUUAACACAUGCAAGUCGAACGGAGAGGCCCUGCUUUUGUGGGGUGCUCGAGUGGCGAACGGGUGAGUAACACGUGAGUAACCUGCCCUUGAUUUUGGGAUAACUUCAGGAAACUGGGGCUAAUACCGGAUAGGAGCUCCUGCUGCAUGGUGGGGGUUGGAAAGUUUCGGCGGUUGGGGAUGGACUCGCGGCUUAUCAGCUUGUUGGUGGGGUAGUGGCUUACCAAGGCUUUGACGGGUAGCCGGCCUGAGAGGGUGACCGGCCACAUUGGGACUGAGAUACGGCCCAGACUCCUACGGGAGGCAGCAGUGGGGAAUAUUGCACAAUGGGCGGAAGCCUGAUGCAGCAACGCCGCGUGCGGGAUGACGGCCUUCGGGUUGUAAACCGCUUUCGCCUGUGACGAAGCGUGAGUGACGGUAAUGGGUAAAGAAGCACCGGCUAACUACGUG
rnacentral:rRNA from 1 species